UCUACGGGCGGCAGCAGUGGGGAAUAUUGGACAAUGGGCGAAAGCCUGAUCCAGCCAUGCCGCGUGUGUGAAGAAGGCCUUCGGGUUGUAAAGCACUUUCAGUGGGGAAGAAAGCCUUGGGGCUAAUACCCUCGAGGAAGGACAUCACCCACAGAAGAAGCACCGGCUAACUCCGUGCCAGCAGCCGCGGUAAUACGGAGGGUGCGAGCGUUAAUCGGAAUUACUGGGCGUAAAGCGCGCGUAGGCGGUCUGAUAAGCCGGUUGUGAAAGCCCCGGGCUCAACCUGGGAACGGCAUCCGGAACUGUCAGGCUAGAGUGCGGGAGAGGAAGGUAGAAUUCCCGGUGUAGCGGUGAAAUGCGUAGAGAUCGGGAGGAAUACCAGUGGCGAAGGCGGCCUUCUGGACUGACACUGACGCUGAGGUGCGAAAGCGUGGGUAGCAAACAGGAUUAGAUACCCUUGUAGUC
rnacentral:rRNA from 1 species